rnacentral:tRNA from 1 species
GGGGCUAUAGUUCAAUGGUAGAAUGUUGGUCUCCAAAACCAAUGAUCAAGGUUCGAAUCCUUGUGGCCCCG